rnacentral:rRNA from 1 species
GAGACGCUGGCGGCGUGGAUUAGGCAUGCAAGUCGAACGGUAUCAUCCUUUCGGGGGUGAGAGAGUGGCGAACUGGUGAGUAACACGUAGGUUAUCUACCCUCAAGACGGGGACAACCCAGGGAAACUUGGGCUAAUACCGGAUGUGAGCAACUUUUAGUUGUUUGAAAGGUGGCGUAAGCUGUCGCUUGGGGAUGAGCCUGCGUCCUAUUAGUUAGUUGGUGAGGUAACGGCUCACCUAGGCAAUGAUAGGUAGGCGGCCUUAACGGGUGGUCGCCCACACUGGGAUUGAGAUACGGCCCAGACUCCUACGGGAGGCAGCAGUCGAGAAUAGUCUACAAUGGUCGGAAGACUGAUAGUGCGACGCCGCGUGAACGAUGAAUCCCUUCGGGGUGUAAAGUUCUUUUAUAUGUGAGCAGUGCUUCUUAUAUUAACAGUAUGGGGAGAGAGAUAUUAGCAUAUGAAUAAGCAACGGCUAACUCCGUG